rnacentral:rRNA from 1 species
AUGCAAGUCGAGCGAGAAGACGUAGCAAUACGUUUGUAAAGCGGCGAACGGGUGAGGAAUACAUGGGUAACCUACCCUCGAGUGGGGAAUAACUAGCCGAAAGGUUAGCUAAUACCGCAUACGACUCUCGAUCUUCGGGUCGGGAGGGAAAGCGAUACCGUGGGUAUCGCGCUCUUGGAUGGGCUCAUGUCCUAUCAGCUUGUUGGUGAGGUAACGGCUCACCAAGGCUUCGACGGGUAGCUGGUCUGAGAGGACGAUCAGCCACACUGGCACUGCGACACGGGCCAGACUCCUACGGGAGGCAGCAGUAAGGAAUAUUGCGCAAUGGGCGACAGCCUGACGCAGCGACGCCGCGUGGGGGAUGAAGGUCUUCGGAUUGUAAACCCCUUUCGGCAGGGAAGAUGGAACGGGCAACCGUUCGGACGGUACCUGCAGAAGCAGCCACGGCUAACUUCGUGCCAGCAGCCGCGGUAAUACGAAGGUGGCAAGCGUUGUUCGGAUUUACUGGGCGUACAGGGAGCGUAGGCGGUUGGGUAAGCCCUCCGUGAAAUCUCCGGGCCUAACCCGGAAAGUGCGGAGGGGACUGCUCGGCUAGAGGA